UCUUCCGUGUGAAUGUGUCCUUUUCAGAAA
rnacentral:piRNA from 1 species